rnacentral:rRNA from 1 species
AUUCUAACCGUGCAAAGGUAGCGUAAUCAUUAGUCUUUUAAUUGGAAACUUGUAUGAAUGGUUGGACAAGGGAAAAGCUAUCCCUGUAAUAAAGUUUGAAUUUGACUUUUAAGUGAAAAGGCUUAAAUUUUUUAGGGGGACGAUAAGACCCUAUAAAGCUUUACAGAUAGGUAAGUUUUUUUUGGUUUAGUAAUAAAAAUUUAAAUUAUUGUUCUGUUUUGUUGGGGCGACAAAGAUAUAAGUAUUUUAACUGUUUAAUUUUUUACAGUAAUAGUUGAAAUUAAUUGAUCCUUAUUAAAGAUUAAGAGACUAAGUUACUUUAGGGAUAACAGCGUUAUUUCUCUUGAGAGUUCUUAUCGAAAGAGAAGAUUACGACCUCGAUGUUGAAUUAAAAUAUCUAUGUAAUGCAACCGU